rnacentral:misc_RNA from 1 species
UCCGAGUUGACCCCGGCAGUCUCAUAUGAGUUCCCACCAUUACGUGCUGGCAACAUACGACGAGGGUUGCGCUCGUUGCGGGACUUAACCCAACAUCUCACGACACGAGCUGACGACAACCAUGCACCACCUGUACACCGACCUUGCGGGGCGACCAUCUCUGGCCGUUUCCGGUGUAUGUCAAGCCUUGGUAAGGUUCUUCGCGUUGCAUCGAAUUAAUCCGCAUGCUCCGCCGCUUGUGCGGGCCCCCGUCAAUUCCUUUGAGUUUUAGCCUUGCGGCCGUACUCCCCAGGCGGGGCACUUAAUGCGUUAGCUUCGGCACGGAGAACGUGGAAUGUUCCCCACACCUAGUGCCCACCGUUUACGGCGUGGACUAC